AGCUGGAAUCGCUAGUAAUCGCGGAUCAGAAUGCCGCGGUGAAUACGUUCCCGGGUCUUGUACACACCGCCCGUCACACCAUGGGAGUCAGCAACGCCCGAAGUCAGUGACCUAACCGAGAGGAAGGAGCUGCCGAAGGCGGGGCAGGUAACUGGGGUGAAGUCGUAACAAGGUAUC
rnacentral:rRNA from 1 species